rnacentral:rRNA from 1 species
UAAGAAAAUUAAAAUUUUUAUUAAUUUUAAUUUUAAUUUUAUUUUAAUUAUUAAAAUUAUUUAUUAAUUUUAUAUUUGUAUAUAUAAAUAUUUAUUUUUAAAAAUUUUAAUUAAUUUAAUAUAUAAAAUUAUUUAAAUAUUUUAUAUUUAAUAUAAAUAUUUUUAAUAUUAAUAAAUUUUAAGUGCCAGCAAUAGCGGUUAAACUUUUAAUAUAAAUUAAUUUUUUAUAUUAAUUAUUAAUUAUAAUAUAAUUAAUAAAUUAAAAAUUAUAUUUAAUGAUAAAAUAAAAAAUAUAAAAAUUGUUAUUAAAAAUUAAAAAUUAAUAAAAUUAAAUAAUAAAUUAGGAUUAGAUACCCUAUUAUUUUAAAAUUAAAUUAAAUUAAUUAAUUAGUAAAAUAAUUAAAAAAUUGAAAAUUAAAAUUUAUGGCAGUAUUUUAAUCUAUUUAGAGGAACUUGUAGUUUAAAUUGAUAAUCCACAAAAAGAUUUACUAAUAAAUAAAAUAUUUAUGUAUGUUCGUUAAAAAUUUUUUUAAAAAAAAAUUUUAAUUUUUAAAAUAAAUUUAUUUCAGAUCAAUAUUUAAUUAUUUUAUUAGAAUUAUAUGAGUUACAUUAAAAUAUAUUUUUAGUUUAUUAAAUUUAAGUUUAAUAAUAAAUUGGAUUUAAUAGUAAAUUUAAUUAAUUAAUUAAAUUAAAUAAGUUUUAAAAUAUGUACAAAUUGCCCGUCAUUUUUAUUAAUUUAAAUAAAACAAGUCGUAACAAAGUAAAUAUACUGGAAAGUGUAUUUA